GUAGGUGGCAAGCGUUGUCCGGAAUUAUUGGGCGUAAAGCGCGCGCAGGCGGUUCUUUAAGUCUGAUGUGAAAGCCCACGGCUCAACCGUGGAGGGUCAUUGGAAACUGGAGAACUUGAGUACAGAAGAGGAAAGCGGAAUUCCACGUGUAGCGGUGAAAUGCGUAGAGAUGUGGAGGAACACCAGUGGCGAAGGCAGCUUUCUGGUCUGUAACUGACGCUGAGGCGCGAAAGCGUGGGGAGCAAACAGGAUUAGAUACCCUGGUAGUCCACGCCGUAAACGAUGAGUGCUAAGUGUUAGGGGGGUUUCCGCCCCCCUUAGUGCUGCAGCUAACGCAUUAAGCACUCCGCCUGGGAGUACGGCCGCAAGGCCG
rnacentral:rRNA from 1 species